GACGAACGCUGGCGGCGUGCUUAACACAUGCAAGUCGAACGGAAAGGCCCUGCUUUUGUGGGGUGCUCGAGUGGCGAACGGGUGAGUAACACGUGAGUAACCUGCCCUUGACUUUGGGAUAACUUCAGGAAACUGGGGCUAAUACCGGAUAGGAGCUCCUGCUGCAUGGUGGGGGUUGGAAAUUUUCGGCGGUUGGGGAUGGACUCGCGGCUUAUCAGCUUGUUGGUGGGGUAGUGGCUUACCAAGGCUUUGACGGGUAGCCGGCCUGAGAGGGUGACCGGCGACAUUGGGACUGAGAUACGGCCCAGACUCCUACGGGAGGCAGCAGUGGGGAAUAUUGCACAAUGGGCGGAAGCCUGAUGCAGCAACGCCGCGUGCGGGAUGACGGCCUUCGGGUUGUAAACCGCUUUCGCCUGUGACGAAGCGUGAGUGACGGUAAUGGGUAAAGAAGCACCGGCUAACUACGUG
rnacentral:rRNA from 1 species